rnacentral:tRNA from 2 species
UCCCUAGUGGCUCAGAGGUUAAAGCGUCUGCCUCCAAUGCAGGAGACCCAGGUUCAAUCCCUGGGUUGGGAA